rnacentral:rRNA from 1 species
AUGAACGCUAGCGGUGCGCCUAACACAUGCAAGUCGAGUGCCAUUAAAAGCACGGCGAACGGGUGAGUAACACGUUGGUAACCUACCCCGGAAUGAGGGAUAACCCCGCGAAAGCGGGGCUAAUACCGCAUAAUAAUGGGGGGACGAAAGUCAUUCCCAUUUAAAGUCUUACGACGUUUCGGGAGGGGCCUGCGGAGUAUCAGCUAGUUGGUAGGGUAACGGCCUACCAAGGCUAUGACGCUUAGUUGGUCUGAGAGGACGACCAACCACAAUGGAACUGAGACACGGUCCAUACUCCUACGGGAGGCAGCAGUGAGGAAUCUUCCGCAAUGGGCGAAAGCCUGACGGAGCGACACCGCGUGGAGGAUGAAGGCGUUUUCGUUGUAAACUCCUUUUCUGAGGGAAUAAAUGAUGAAGUUACCUCAGGAAUAAGCACCGGCCAACUACGU